UAAUUAAAACAUUACUUUGCAGAUAUAGUGCUGGAAAAUGGCCAGCAGUCUCUACCACGCACCAAAUGACGUGACUAUCCGCAAGUGUUUUUGACCG
rnacentral:ncRNA from 2 species